rnacentral:lncRNA from 1 species
GCGCGCUCCGACGGCCCAUGGUACCGCUGGACGCCCUUGCUCUCCUAGAGUAUCCUCUUUUCUUUCUUCUUCAAAGACCCAGGGAUGCCAGGAAAGUCUAUAUGACCCGAGGAGUACUGGCGGAAAGGCGUCUCUCGGCUCCAGGUGUGCUAUCAGGGCCAGGUCGCUUCAGGAGGGUGCGGUGCCUUCAGCUAGGUCCCCGGCAAGAGCUCUACGAGGCACUGAGAAAGGACAACUUUCGGUUUCCUCUUCGUCUGGCUUUCAGUCCACGGAGAGGCCUAUUAGGAAGCGGCGGUCUGGAAAUCCCACCGGUGAGGCGAUAAUCCGGGGCCCCGAGGGGCGCGGUGGGAACGGUGGUGGCAAGGACUGCGGCGCGCGCCCUGGUUUCCCGGCCCGGCGUCACUCGGCAGCCGCUGCCGCUCCCAGAGUGUUCUAGACCGGUAUCUCUUGCACUAUCGCCAAGCCUCGCGUCUUCCUCAAGAAUUCAGCCAAUGCCAUGCGAGAACACACACCGAGGACCGGAGGCCGAAGCGUGGGAGGCUCCGUGCCGCACCGGUGCUCUCCCGUGACCUGCCCUGGUCAGACAGGGUAACCGCGGGUGCACGCCGGAGGAUCUGGCCCGGGCUGGCGCCUGCCACCCUUAAAUCCUGCCGGCCGCUCGCAUAACUAAUGAGAUGCAAAUGAGCAGCCCCCCAAUCUGGCGAGAGCUGUCACAAAGGA